rnacentral:rRNA from 1 species
UAGGGAAUCUUCCACAAUGGACGCAAGUCUGAUGGAGCAACGCCGCGUGAGUGAAGAAGGUUUUCGGAUCGUAAAGCUCUGUUGUUGGUGAAGAAGGAUAGAGGCAGUAACUGGUCUUUAUUUGACGGUAGUCAACCAGAAAGUCACGGCUAACUACGUGCCAC